rnacentral:tRNA from 1 species
ACAGCGGUAGCUCAGUUUGGUAGAGCAUAAGGCAGCCCAAUCACCAAAUUAUCCGAUAAAGGUCAAUGGUGGUUUACUACAUAGUUUUAGUGUCGCAGGUUCGACUCCUGCCCGCUGUC